UUUCAGUUGACGAGUCCCAAAUAGAACAAAAUGCGCAUCCUGGAU
rnacentral:hammerhead_ribozyme from 1 species